rnacentral:rRNA from 1 species
CCCUUAGAUGUCCGGGGCCGCACGCGCGCUACACUGAAGGAAUCAGCGUGGCUUUCUCCCUGACCCGAAAGGGUUGGGAAACCCGUUGAAUCUCCUUCGUGAUAGGGAUUGGGGCUUGAAAUUGUUCCCCAUGAACGAGGAAUUCCCAGUAAGCGCGAGUCAUAAGCUCGCGUUGAUUACGUCCCUGCCCUUUGUACACACCGCCCGUCGCUACUACCGAUUGAACGGUUUAGUGAGGGCCUCGGAUUGGUCUCGGCCCGCCCUUUACCGGGCGGCGCCGUUGGUCGAGAAGACGCUCGAACUUGAUCGUUUAGAGGAAGUAAAAGUCGUAACA